AUUGAACGCUGGCGGCAGGCCUAACACAUGCAAGUCGAGCGUGAAAGUCCUUUGGGAUGAGUAAAGCGGCGGACGGGUGAGUAACGCGUAGGAAUCUACCUGGUAGUGGGGGAUAACGUUCCGAAAGGGACGCUAAUACCGCAUACGUUCCGAGGAAGAAAGCAGGGGACCUUCGGGCCUUGUGCUAUCAGAUGAGCCUGCGUCCGAUUAGCUAGUUGGUGGGGUAAAGGCCUACCAAGGCGACGAUCGGUAACUGGUCUGAGAGGAUGAUCAGUCAGACUGGAACUGGGACACGGUCCAGACUCCUACGGGAGGCAGGAGUGGGGAAUAUUGGACCAUGGGCGCAAGCCUGAUCCAGCCAUGCCGCGUGUGUGAAGAAGGCCUUCGGGUUGUAAAGCACUUUAAGCGGGGAGGAAGGCCUGAUGGCUAAUAUCCAUCGGGAUUGACGUUACCCGCAGAAUAAGCACCGGCAAACUUCGUGCCAGCCGCCGCAGUAA
rnacentral:rRNA from 1 species